AUGUGUUAGUCAUUCAUCUAACUGAGCUAUCGGUGCGUGUAAGACAAGAACAUCCACAAGAGCUGAUAGGAUUUUACAUCAACGUUCCUCCAUCCUCUCGCUUUACAUUCGCCCGUCUCUCCUGACAGACCGGACACACCCACGACACUCCACUACGUCUGGUUUCAUUAGUCAACAUCAGGAGACACUUGAGCCUCAUAGGAAGGAAGAACUGCAGGCCGUUUGUUCUGAUACAGCUGGCCUGCAAUUUGCCAUGUGAAUGGAUCUGACGGGGGUGGAUGAGCCUCUCACUCCGAUCGGAGCGCUGCGGAAAAGUCUCGCUGCAGUCUUAAUCACUGUCCUCAGCAGCCUUUCAUGUAAUGUGACAAUUAAGAUCUCCUCCGGAGUCGAGCUGAAGGAAGAAACACCCUCACAACCUUUUGUUAUACCAGCCGGAGGUAGUUCGUGUUAACUUCAGCGAGUUCUUCUCAAAGAUUUUCAUAAUCUUUGAGCUAUAAAUAACUUUAUGCUUCCUCGAGAGAUAAAUGAGAAGAUAAAGUGUGAUCUUGUGGCCUCAGACUGAGUAAUUUGUUCUUAAUUACGGCUGCUUCACCACAAUAUCCGUCGUCUGUCUGCAACCUGCAGACCUCAUCAAGUGCAUCACAGCAUAUGGAGUUCCUCUGGUCAUAGUCAAGGUUCCGAGCGGAACGCGCAGCACCGCAGCAGAAUUCCAAACAAAGCUCGUGGGAAGGUGCAGAGGCCGGAGAGAUCACAGCGAGAGAUUUUCAAAAAGGUCAUCCCUGACCGCGAGAGAUACAUCGCUUUGCUUAAUACAGAUCACCUGCCUUCGAUGGAUGAUUUAUCACGCCAAGCCCGCUGGAGAGAUAUGAGCAACGGUUCGAGUUAUGCCUCCCUGUAUUCUCCAACGGCUCGCAUUAUGAUGCUGUUUAAAGCAGAUUCCUCGGGCUAGAAGGACUAUCUGCCAUCCGAUCCGUCUCUUUCCAUCAGACCCCUGCAGAAAUCAAAGACGGGUCUCAGACGGCAUGGGACGGACAGACGGUGCUGUGCGGACGGGUGUUAGCACUAAAUAUGAGUUGACCCCUGACGGUAAUGGGCUCUCACUGGGUGUCGCAGAGUAAUUUAUCUGCCAGCGAGGUGACAUGGAGAGUAAAUGUUUGUCUUGGGUCUGUGUUUACACUGUUUACUCAAGCUUAUGAGCAAUAGGGAUCCUGAAGACCCAUCUCUCCUGCUUUAUCUCUCUCUCUCUUUUGUCCUGUAUCUUACAUUCCCACUGGCAAGGUGUCGAGACCUAUUACACUAAAUGAGAAAUAGUCCAUUUCAUCAUGAUACAAUAGGGUAAUUUAUAACUCUAUUUUUAUGAAGACACUUAGUACUAAUCACAUUUUGGCCAAUUAAAUAAGGGAUAGUUCAUCCAAAAAUUACCAUUCCGACUUUUACUCACCUUCAUGAUUUUUUUACUUCUGUUUAACAGAAAGGAUGUUUAUAAUCUAUAGGAUCUAUAAUCUAUAUAUCAGGCCUUCUGAAGCCAUACGAUAGCUUUGUGCGAGAUAAAAACUGCAAAACUUUCUUUUUGAAAGAAAUGUAGACUUUUAUUCAGCAAGCACGCAUUUAAUUGAUCAAAAGUAACAGUAAAGACAUUUACAGUGCUCAGCGUAAACAAGCACACCCCCUUUGAA